GGCUCUCAAGCAAGGUCCACUUGCAGUGAAAUAAACCAGAGGUUUGAAUCAUGGCUUGAUACGAAAUUAUUGGAAAGAAUAUGGCGAUGACAUCCACAAUGCCGGAUAAAGAAAAUAUUUAGAAGAUGAGAUUCCUGUGUUUCUGGCUUUCAUAACUUUUUAGAUUUCCUUUCUACUGGAAAACUUUUAACUUUGAAAACCGCAAGUAAUAUUUUUCUUCCUGAAACCUCUGCAGUGGUAGCAAUGCACUGAAGUUUGAUUAAAAGUUUACUGGUCAUUCCUGCCAUGAGAAGAUGAUAGAGAAUAUCACCACAGUGUGACUUGCUUCCAAGGCAGCAUGGUUUCAUGCAGAGGAUCUAAACUGGGGACCAUGUGCUGGGCUGCAAAAGGGCUGUGCAGUGCCUAAAAUGUUAUGCAAAAUUUUAUAAAGGUAGGUCAUGUAUUGCUCCAUUGAUGCUGCCCUUAUUCAUGAUGAUUAAAGCCUUUGGGAGGUAUUCCUUCAGAAUAAUGGACAACUUCGAUAAGUACUGGUAAGAAAAUAAGUAGAAACUCUAAAUUUGAAGUCUUC
rnacentral:lncRNA from 10 species